rnacentral:rRNA from 1 species
GGAUGAACGCUGGCGGCGUGCUUGAUACAUGCAAGUCGAACGGAGAGUGUAGCAAUAUACUUUUAGUGGCGAACGGGUGAGUAACGCGUUGGUGACCUGCCCCGAAGCGAGGGAUAACAGUUCGAAAGAACUGCUAAUACCUCAUGUGAUCACCGGUUUUAGAAUCUGGUGAUUAAAGGUGAAAAUCACUUCGGGAGGGGCCUGCGUCCCAUCAGCUAGUUGGUAAGGUAAUGGCUUACCAAGGCGAUGACGGGUAGGGGACCUGAGAGGGUGGCCCCCCACAAUGGAACUGAAACACGGUCCAUACACCUACGGGUGGCAGCAGUAGGGAAUAUUGCAAAUGGGCGAAAGCCUGAUGUAGCAACGCCGCGUGUGCGAUGAAGGUCUUCGGAUUGUAAAGCACUUUUUGGAGGGAUGAGGAAGGACAGUACCUCCAGAAUAAGCCUCGGCUAACUACGUGCCAGCAGCCGCGGUAACACGUAGGAGGCAAGCGUUAUUCGGAUUUACUGGGCGUAAAGCGCGUGCAGGCGGUUUGGAAAGUUGGAUGUGAAAGCUCCUGGCUCAACUGGGAGAGGUCGUUCAAAACUUCCAGACUUGAGAGUGGUAGAGGGAGGUGGAAUUCCGGGUGUAGUGGUGAAAUGCGUAGAUAUCCGGAGGAACACCAGUGGCGAAAGCGGCCUCCUGGACCACUUCUGACGCUCAGACGCGAAAGCUAGGGUAGCAAACGGGAUUAGAGACCCCGGUAGUCCUAGCUGUAAACGAUGUGAACUUGGCGUUGGUGGGUUUAAAUCCAUCAGUGCCGAAGCUAACGCGAUAAGUUCACCGCCUGGGGACUACGGCCGCAAGGUUAAAACUCAAAGGAAUUGACGGGGACCCGCACAAGCGGUGGAUGAUGUGGUUUAAUUCGAUGCAACGCGAAAAACCUUACCCACCUUUGACAUGGCAGGAAUUCCGAAGAGAUUUGGAAGUGCUCGAAAGAGAACCUGCACACAGGUGCUGCAUGGCUGUCGUCAGCUCGUGUCGUGAGAUGUUGGGUUAAGUCCCGCAACGAGCGCAACCCUUGCCAUUAGUUGCUACGAAAGGGCACUCUAAUGGGACUGCCGGUGACAAACCGGAGGAAGGUGGGGAUGACGUCAAGUCCUCAUGGCCCUUAUAGGUGGGGCUACACACGUCAUACAAUGGCCGGUACAAAGGGUAGCCAACCCGCGAGGGGGAGCCAAUCCCAUAAAGCCGGUCGUAGUCCGGAUCGCAGUCUGCAACUCGACUGCGUGAAGUCGGAAUCGCUAGUAAUCGUGGAUCAGCAUGUCACGGUGAAUACGUUCCCGGGUCU